UACGUAGGGGGCAAGCGUUAUCCGGAUUUACUGGGUGUAAAGGGAGCGUAGACGGCUUUGCAAGCCAGAUGUGAAAGCCCGGGGCUCAACCCCGGGACUGCAUUUGGAACUGUAUGGCUGGAGUGUCGGAGAGGCAGGCGGAAUUCCUAGUGUAGCGGUGAAAUGCGUAGGUAUUAGGAGGAACACCAGUGGCGAAGGCGGCCUGCUGGACGAUGACUGACGUUGAGGCUCGAAAGCGUGGGGAGCAAACAGG
rnacentral:rRNA from 1 species